rfam:Triticum aestivum genome assembly, contig: Triticum_aestivum_CS42_TGACv1_scaffold_643364_T_1AL-0.128526_4BL-0.118780
GUCGUACUCCCUCUGUCCGAAAAUACUUGUCAUCAAAAUGGACAAAAAGGGAUGUAUCUAGAACUAAAAUACAUCUAGAUACAUCCCCUGCUAUUCAUUUUGAUGACAAGUAUUUCCGGACGGAGGGAGUAGUAA